GCGGAUGGCGCGCGCAGGAGCAAACGGCGACGCCUGGUGGACGAUGGGGGGAAGCGCGCUCAGGAGCAAACGGCGACGCCUGGUGGACGAUGGGGGGAAGCGCGCGCAGGAGCAAACGGCGACGCCUGGUGGACGAUGGGGGGAAGCGCGCGCAGGAGCAAAAGGCGACGCCUGGUGGACGAUGGGGGGAAGCGCGCUCAGGAGCAAACGGCGACGCCUGGUGGACGAUGGGGGGAAGCGCGCGCAGGAGCAAACGGCGACGCCUGGUGGACGAUGGGGGGAAGCGCGCGCGACUGUGAUGGAUCGAGACUGAAACGUCCCGCUGCUCUUCUCCCCUAAUCUCCUCCUUGCUGAUUGGCUGGCGGUGAAGUGGCGGUUUCUCUUUUCGGCUGACGUCCCUACAGAGCUCGGCACCAGUGGACCCUAGCCCCUUGGAAAACAACUGGCGCUUUAAGCUUGGACAGAUAGCAGACAGAGGGAUGGCGGUUUGAGAGGAGGAGAAUGCCGCAGAGGGUUGGAAUCCGCACACGCACACAUACACUCACUCACGCACACGCGCGCGCACACACACACACACACACACAUACACUCACGCACACGCUUACUCACACGUUCAUCCACAUGCAAAAGAUGCAUAAGCAUGCAAAGACACAUACAGAGAAAAAAAAAUAUUUCACACACACACACACACACACACACACACACACGUGCACAAACAGUGUAUAUCUCCCACGGGAGCUGUGAUGAUAGAGAUGGAGCGCAGUGUGUAUUGACUGUGACUGUGACACAAAGCUGCAUCCAGCACAAGAACCUCAGAGGAAAAAGGCUCCGCUUCAAAAACAAGACCUCCAGUCUGCGGCUUCCGACGCUCUCUCAUUACAUUUUGUGAACUGAACACAAACUCUCGAGAGAUGCUUCCAUGCUUUGGACAGACAUAAGGGGCCGAUUAAAUCUGUCAGAUUAUGUGACGACAACACAAAUUACACAUCACGGUUUAUCUUAUGAUUAAAGGUUUCCUAUGUGUAUCAAAUGUCAAGGAAGGGAAGUCAAAUCAUGUUCACGGCAUCAUUUCAGUGCCAGAGACGGUAUAGAGCAUAUCUCUACGAAAAAAUUAAAUGCAUAAUAAUGUCAAGUAAUACUUACUGAGACAUUUGUGUUCUCACAUAUAGCUCCUUUUUAAAAAUUCUGCAAAAGGUCCAGACUUCAGUGCAUGUCUGGAAGCAGCUUUUUAUCCUUCUAUCUGUAAGUCUGUCCCUCUGCUUGUCUCUUACAGUAGCACAUUAUGUUACUAUAAGUCCUCAUAUUGAGUUUGCAAGCAAAUCCAACUAUUAAUUAGAAUCAGCCUUAUUUCAUAUUUCUGUGCCCGCAGGAUCCUGUAAACAUAAUUGUUUUGGCUCUAAUGGCCUUUUGUUGCACCAGCUACUCCCGCUCCUUGGUUGGGGUGUCGUGUCUCCAUGGUGGGUGGUGGAGCCUUUGCACGUGGCGAUCUCCUGUUCCAGAUUUGAGGAGGGUGAAAACAUGCGGCUGGCGCCACAACGGUAACAUAUCUCAGCCUGUACUCUCUGCAAGCCAACAGUUGGACUGGACCAGUCAAGUCAGAAGGGUUAUUUAUAGCAGUUAUCUGAGAAUGCAUCACACAUACUGUAUGCUGUAUUGUAUGCAAGUAGAAAAUACAAGUCCAACACAGACACAGAAACACACGGUGUUUCAAAUUCAGGCAGGAAUAAACAAAAGAUAGUUGGCUGGUUAACUGUGAAUCACGUGUGCAGCCUAGUCAUGUUGAGCCAAUCGACACACUGUAUAGAUAAUUUCUUUACUUCUUUGCUUCUGUUAGGGUUAGGGUUAGUUUAAUUAAAAGACGCAGUCCUCCAAUGUAUUUAUACACUGCACAUCGCAACAUGCACACACUGCAGGUGGGGAAACUCAAAGCUUGACAGGCCUGCUGUGCCUAGUUACUUUUGCUUUAAUUGGGAAAUCACUGUGUUUAAAGUGACUAAUAAUGACAUGCAUCAUAAUUACUUGUAAAGAGCAUGUCCUGCAGGCUCAUAUGAAAGCAAAUGAUAUCAGCGGUGAAGAAAAUUGCUAUUAGUUACAUACUGGAAUCAUUCGGCAGGUGUUUGACAACAUUUUUAUAGCCCUGGCAGCGUCUCAAACUUCCACUACUGCACCACGAAUGGUUGAGCCAACAGAUGUUCCUCAUAAUUUGCAGCAUUUAGUGCUCCUGUUUUGAGAUGCAACAUUGGUAAUUAUGAUGCAGUUGCUGACAGACGAAAACAUCACGUCUCAGCCAUGGAUGUAUACAUUUUAUGGUACUUUGCAGGUUCUGCUGUGAAAUAUUUCAUCCUCUGCAUCUGGCAUAUUGUCAACUGUAACAGUAAAUCAGACAAUUAUAACAACACAAAUAAUGCUAGUAUAUGAUCUGAUCAGUUAAAGAAAAUAAUCUUAGAUUAAGUCUGCUUAAUGGCUGUUUUAUGGUUUGUUCAAUGUGUGAAACAAGGACGUAUUUACACUGUUUUGGAACCAGCACCAAGUCACCACCACAUGCUGUGCUGUAAUUUUGGCGAUAUUCACUUGUAAAAAUAUCACCCGGAGAGAAAGUUAAAAGCUCAUUCACGUCUGUCUGCUGCUGUGUGGUCGGUUGAAUGAAUUGCAUAGCUGUGCAUGCAGGGGAAAAGCAAACAAAUGCUCUGUUAGUGUAACAGAAUCUGUUUGCAUCAGCAUCAAAGAAAGAGAACCUUCCAACGUGUACCUGACUGUCAGUCCGUCAGUGUUCCUGACAAAAAACACCACCCCACAACUUUGCCAACACAUAUGUAUUAACCAAAUCCUGAAUCACAAUAUGUCAGCCUCUUUAGACUUUUUAUUUGUCAGACUGUAAAAUCCAGGAUACUUUUUGUCAACAUUUUAGCCUCAAAUACAGUCAUUGUGUCAGAAAACAGACAAUUUUAAACAGAUAAAAGCCCAAUGAGCUGCAGUGUCCUGCUCACCAAACAAACUUCUGUAUUUGCUAAAAUUUUCACAUGCUGCAUGUUGCGUUCCUUUGCUCAAAGUGCCUCCCAAGUAACACAAGACCUAAGAUACCUUGCAAUUUAGUUUGGUUGGCCCCAGUGCGAAUCAAGUCCCCUUACUCUGGCAAAAUGUAAUGCCGCACUCUUUCCCUAGAGGAUUACAGGACCAUGUUUUAAAGCAAGAACAAAAAAUUGGAAUGGCCUCAAGGCGCACUGGGAGGCACGUUGGGGGAAUUAAGCAAAUGAGAAAGAUAUUCUGUCCGUUCCCUAGGGUGAUGGAUGAGAGAUGAGUGUUGGGAUAACAAGGGAUCAGAGGCGAGAGGAAGAAUAAUGAGGAUCUGCCCCGACUAUCCCACUCAUCCCUCCACCCAUCUACACAUCCAGUGGCUCCGCUAAUGUUGCUUUAACUUCCUUCACUUGAACUACGAUAUAAAAACGUUUCUCUUCUUCGAUGAUUACAGUAGGAAAUUCUUGUUGUUCUCAUGACCCUUGUCAAAAAGCUUAAGACCCCUAGUGCGAACAGAGCAGGCAUCGAUGACAACAACCACUGAUCAAGUCAGAUACAGUAUGAAAAGGAAGGUGCUGGGGUGGAGUAGGGUUGCGAAGUGGCGUGCAGUAAAUAAAGAAGAGUAGGCAGGUUAAAGCAUCUUAGAUAGAGCGAGCAAUGUGAGCUUGUGUAAGGGAGGAGGGGGGCUGGCAUAGACAUCUCUACUGUCAGCUGAUGUGCUGCACAGUGGCUGAGCUUGACUUCAUGGCCUGCCUGAACUGAUGCUAUACUCAGUUAUGUGGAUCGAUAUUUGCAGUUUAUGUCUACCUGCAAACUAGUUGCUCUGAAAUUAUCUAUGAGUGACGAAAUACGAAAAUGUUCCAAUGUUCAGAUUCAGCCACGCACAUCAGUAAAUUCGAUUGCAAGUGGCCACUUUCCUCAGCCCCUGCAGUGAACCUCUUGGGCCCCCUUCCUCUUCAAAUUGUCCACAAGAAUAGAUUCCAUAAAAAAAAAGAGAAGCUUUUUAGACUUCAAGGAUACACACAACACUUGUUGAAUGAAGACUACUGUAUAACUUUCGUGAGUUUACCAGAAAGCGCCACAAACAGCGAUGUUUGGCUUCCCCCUGCUUCCCCUCUGACUCUGACUGCGUCCAGCAUGACUGAUGAUGGGUGUGGUCAAAAGUUUAACUGGUCAGCGUCAUACCGGGUGCUAUAGUUGUUGGGGAACGUUGACAUGGACGACUCACAAACAUCCAACAGCAAGAGCAGAAAGCUUGGAGCAGAAGCUGCGCGAGUGCACAGAAGCAGCCUGACCGCGAGGGGAAAGACUCAAUCUGAAGCACGGGACAUUUGUGCAGCAGCAGUAUAUCUGAGGGCAGACACCGUUUGGAGCAAGAGAAGCAAAUAUGCACACGCGCAGGGGGUCAUUGAGAGAGCAGGCAGGGUAUUGAGGGAAAGCGUUCCGAAAUCUGAACGUGAAAUGAGGAAACCAUGCUCUCAAAAUGAAAGAUCACACUCUUGAAUAAAGAUGCAAAGAAACAGGCCGGCAGGUUGUUGGAAACCUUUAGAGAAAGUGUCCCUGGAAAUCCUGACGGUUGCGGUGGUGAUGGGGGAGGAGGGGGGUUGCAAGAUGGACACAAUUGCAAGAUAUUCAAAGAACGGCAUCCACCGAUUGAUCGGCUUGAGCGACGCAGGCACGAAGAUCAUUGGUCAGACAUGGUGACGGGGAUCUGACAGUGUGGGAAAAGUGAAAGUGAUGGAGAUAAAAUGGAGCAAGAGUGUAUAUUCAACUUUAAUGUGAGAGAGGAGAUCUUCCUUAAUGAAGAUCUUCCUAAGCUUCCAAAAAUUACUGUUUCUUGUUUUGGAGAUACAUUCUGAUAAACAUUUGCCAACCGCAAUAGAAACUGUACAUGUUUCCCGUGAUUCCUUCACAAUAAAACCCACUCUGUAUUUAGCAGCAGGAGGAUAUGUUGUUUUUUUAAAUACAUGCUUUGUUUCCUCUGAAUCUGCGUGUGAAUGGAAUCUGAAUCUUAAACAGGAAUGGCAGAGCCCACCGCUCACAAUAAAAAAUGAUAAUUACAAAAUCUAGAUGUAUUGAAUUUGGCCAGAUGGCUCAAAAGUGCCGGCGGGGUUGUUGCACAAAGGAUUGUGACGUAGGUAAGUUUGUCAUCUUUUCUUCUCCUCUCCUCUCGUACAGUACAUGACUGCUCCCUGACUCUUACACAUCUUUGAAGGUAGAAAACAACUCACAUGGGUGACGUGGUGUUCACUUCAAUUCGUGUCUUACUCCCCCACACCCCCAGCUUUGAUGCUUUGAUAAGGCGUUGCAGUAACACCACUGUCGGUAGGUAGAUAUUAGAUACUCCUCUCAGCACUAGUCCUUGGUUUGCUAAAGUUUGUUGUUAUUUUCAGAGAGCUUGGUUUGUUCAUUGGUCAUUUUACGCUUGUUCCAAAUAUUCAAUGUGUGGAGAUAUUGUAGGCAUUGAAUACACUGACACAGACUAGAUGCCCAACUGGAGUUUCUUAACAGUGCAAAUCUCAGAGCGAAGAUCCCUCUCUUUUGUGCCGUUCAAAUGAAAUAUAUCGUCUCGACUCUCAUCUGUGAUUCUGCGGCAGGCACAACCUCUGGCAGACCAGACAUUCCUCACCUCUCAACGAUCGCGGCUCUCACAUUGAGCACGUCAACAUGUCUUCCUCUCCUUCACUUUUUCAAAUCUCAAACAGAAUUAUUCAGUCAUCGCCCGUGGCUAUGAAGACAAAGCAAGAAGCAGAAGGAGAGACAGAGAGAGAGAGAGAGACUAUAGCAGAGACUCAGAGAGAGAGAGAGAACGGCUGUUUUUACUACGUAACUUAAAUCCUUUUUUAAAUCAACAGUGCUGAUUUGUGAUGGUGUUAUAUGUUUUACCUAGAUGAAAUAAUUGGAAAGAGGAGUGUUUGAUAUUCAGAAUUCUCUCUUCUCUUUCUUUCAUGUCUUUCUCUGGGCAUUGACGCUCUCUCUCUGUCCUCCUGUCACACUGUCUGGUUGUACUUACCCCCCCUCCCCCUCUUCUUCACUCAAUCAUCCUAAAAGUAGGGAUUGGGUAAUUUAA